rnacentral:snoRNA from 1 species
AUUUUCCAGAUUCCUUACCCUUCGGACCUAAAUAUUAGUCUGAGUGCCUAAAAAAAGGAGGAAAAAUAAAACUGAAAGUGGACUUGCAGUCUUUAGUGACAUACAAGUUCAUUCAAACUUAUGA